rnacentral:tRNA from 1 species
GUGCCCCCGGCAGGAUUCGAACCUGCGACACCCGCUUUAGGAGAGCGGUGCUCUAUCCCCUGAGCUACGAAGGC